rnacentral:lncRNA from 1 species
UCAAAUUGCAGAGCUAGACCCGAAACCCUAGAAAAUAUAUCUGGGUCACUUCUGGAUGUUUCCAUCAACCCCUCACUCACUCACUCUCUCUCUCUCUCUGCGAUGUUGAAUUGUUUGUUCAUGCGCAUCUCAUGCCUCUGUAGCGAGGAUUCCUUGUCCAUACAUACAUAAUGCUAUUUUCUUGAUUUCGUGGCCUUGAGCUGUGCUGGAACUGUUAGUGUCGGACUUCCUGUUCCUUUGCUGGUAGUUUUUGCUGCUUGUAGCGAUUUGUUGAUUGGUCGAUCAAUCGAUCAAGGAGGUGAGUGAGCAAGUGAGCGGGGCUAUCACGGCGUCGUCAAGCAUGAAGUCAUUUCCCGGAGCAGGACUGUUCAUACCAGAUUUGGAUGAUGGUGUGGUUGGAGUGGCUAUGGACGUAGAUGUGGACGGAGAUGCGCUCGAGUUGCUCGGCGAUGCGGCAGUUGACCACAAGCCCUCCGAUGCCGAUUUCUUCAACGACUUCGAGGAUGAUUUCGAUGACUCUGAUUUGGCCUAAGCUUGCGGACGGUAGCUUUUGAUGUAGUGUCUGUUGCCGAUUUCGCAAUUGUGUUAGAGGUCAAUUGUGGAGGUUGUGUUAGGAAAUGGGUUGGGUUUUGGGUAAAUGAUUCAGCAGUUUUAGUCGCUAGGUCUGUAGCCAAAGAUCCGUGCGAACGGCAGGCAUGUGAUAUUCAGUCGUGAUUAACAAAGGACGCCUUCACUUCUGAAAGGUACGUAUUUGCUCUACAUGUUGUAGGUGUAUGGGGUCCUUGAACUUGACCGGAGAGUGUUCUGAUUUCAGAGCUAUAGGGAGUUCUGACCUUUGUAAUUGUAAAGAUUGUAACCAUCAACCUGAUAUUCCGUUUUCGUUAACAAUUCCUCUUCUAAUAUUUGAAAUUAUCUUCUGGGGUACUUCUUUCUAGAUCGUUACUGUGGAAGGUUUUCUCUGUUGAUUUACUGCACUAUGGAAGAAUUUAUCCCUCCAACUGAAUGUGCAUAUCUUAUUCGGUAUGAGAUGUAGCUCUGUAUUGCAUGGGAUUUCAGGCAUUAAUUUUAGCCGCCUGGACGUUAUGUCUUGACAGCGUAAAAUUAAUUCCUUAACGUCAUUUUAGAGUCGUUGCAGAAUAAAAUUUGAUCUUUAGUUUGCUUUUGGGUUGUUUUUGGUUGAGAACCUGGAAACCGGGUAUCUCAAUGGUAAGUCAAAGUAGGGUGUAUCCACAAGUGUCAGGUACCCGUUCCUGAUACUUGUAAGGGGUGCUCACUUUCUACGUGUGAAUCUUCCUAACAACGCAGAAUUCCACCAGUGAUACAUGGUUCUACACGCAAGCCAAUUAUCUAAUCAUACUUCUGCUAAUUUUUUUGAUCAAGUUGCUUAUCUUCGAAUCUAAGCUUUUAUAAGCAUUAUCAAUCUCGUGCCGUUCACUUUAAUUUAAGUUCAUUCUGAAAAUUAAAUCAGCUUAUGUUACGUUGUUAUCACGAGUAAGAAGAAAAACUUAUCUACAUCAUACGAGCUUGUGUAAAAAGUUUGGUUCUUUGUGAGAACAUCUUUCGAAUGGGACGACGUUUUCACAAAUUUCAACGGGUUAUCUUGGAUCGCAGAGAAAUCUUUUACUGUUCACCAGGAAGGUGCCCAAACUUAGAAAAUUGGACGGAGUGCACUUGAGUUGUCGGUUAUUAUAUGUGGUGCAUAGGCACUGUAUUCAUCUUGGAUGCACGACACAUGCGAAACUAUUUCAAAUGGAGAGGGCUGGCAUCGCGUCACUAGAUCCUGUAGGGUUGGUGGAAACAGCAUAACAGUCAAUCUUCUAUCCUCGACUCAAUUAUACAAUUGUCAAUGUGCCCUACUCCUCGUUCCUUGUAGGGAAGCUUCUCUUAAACGUGAAGUAAUCAAGUCGGCAUUCACUAGGUCAGGGUCAGAGCCCUAUGCAGCUUCUUAUUUACACAUAAGUCGAACAACAGUAUUUAACUGCAUGCUCAUGGAGCGACCUCGGCUGAAAUGGAAACGCGGAUGGCUCCUUCUUCACAGCCUGAAGUGUACUUCCCAUUAAAUAAGCAAGACCUUGAGCAGAGAUAGCACAACGGAACUACUGUAGAAACAAAGCGUUACUAAGCUCAGCCAAAAGGUGUACAGGGAAAAGUAUAUAAAAGUGUAGGAAAACUCAUAUUUUUAUACUCCAGAUGCUAAUCACUCUAGUUAUCCAUAUUGGUAGAGGGAUUUCCGUUUGGUUAUAAGCAAGAGUGAUUUUAGUUACUUUGCAUUACGUGGCUCCUAUUUUGCUGGCUGGAGAAUUGUGCAGCCAAGUGGCCUUUAAUCAAUGGUAAUAAAUCUUUUUACCCUGUGGAGUAAUGGUAAGGUGUGUAAAUCUGGUGCAAAGAGCCCCAUUGUGAACCAUCUCAUUGUGGGUAUCAUAAUUGUAAGUCUGCAGAAAUUUUGGAGGCACACCUGCAUCAGGUUCUAUUCCUCCAAUCAUAUAGAAGAACCCCCCUUUGAUGUUAUAAGUAUGUACACCUUGUCCAAGGUCAAACCCAAUGUUGUGCACAUGCAGCAAAGUGAAAGCAAAAUUUCUUUCUAUACUCAAUGUCUUUUGGCAAACAUACAAAUGCUAGUAAAUCUAAGGGCGUAAUAAGCAGGAGAAGAGCAACUUUGCUCCCU